UGGGAGGCUAAUUAUUUCUACCAGCUCGGGCUGCUGGCUGCAGUAACAUGCUUUUGGGUGCAGCUUUGCAGGUGAGACUCUGGAGUUUGAUGCAGCACAAUUUGGGGAAUGAGAGAAUCCGUCUACCUGCAAAGCUCCAUUGAGCCGCACACUUUGUUAGCAAUGUAACCUUGUCAGUCAGAUUAACCGGAUGAUGUUGACUGAGCCCCUUCUGAGGAGAUUAAGGGAAGGAAGGGAGCCUCACGAAGUCAGAAGAGCAUCCCUGGCAGACAGAAUAGUGUGAGCAAUGGGAGCUGGGGGAGUAAGUUCUGGGCGGGCAUCAAAUAAUCAAAUCUAGGACCUUACAUGCUAGGCAAGCACUCUACUACUGAGCUACAUCGCCUGCCCAGAUCCUGCAUUUUUAAUAAGAUCUCAAGUAGCGCUGGGGCUGGAGAAUGUUCUGUGAUGGUGGAAACCAACAUCUGCUCUGUUCAAUCCACUGGCCUCGCCUUUUGACAAGCUGGAGUAAGGUGAAAUCAGAGGUUUCCAGUUGGCUUGGUGGUUGUUCGUACCCAUGAAGGAAGGACGAGAAGCAAGGUGCAGGAAGGAGAGUGAGGCAGCUGCCCCUCGGCCACCGGGAAGCACCAGGAACCACUGCAUGCCCAGCAGCACCCCUCGAAGUGCCUGGCUAAGGCCAGCACCCGUCUCAAGAGACAAGAGCUCUGGAUCCAUCAAGGAUUCUUACUUUGGAGAAUAUAGGAACUUCUGGCCCUGUGGAGAUGUUUGGGUAGAAAGCAAAGACCCUCGACUGAAGGACCAGCUUGUGUGUGGACCUGAGCUAGCAGAAGACGUGAGGCGAAGGGGGCCUGUGACUCAGAGGGCUUGCCAUCGCAGACUGGGGCCCUCUUUCCUUCGGCUGACAUCCUCUUCGGCUGCCUGCUGCUGGCAUCUUCCCCGCCCAGCCCCUGCAUCCCUGUUUCCCCACACCCUCGCCGCCCGCCCCACCUCCCACACCUGCCUGCCUUUGCACAGAGCGAUCCCUCGUGUUUGCUCCACUAUCGUCCAGCCGGAUGCUGAGUGA
rnacentral:lncRNA from 1 species